rnacentral:rRNA from 1 species
AUACGGAAGGUCCGGGCGUUAUCCGGAUUUAUUGGGUUUAAAGGGAGCGCAGGCGGAGAUGCAAGCGUGACGUCAAAUUUCGGGGCUCAACCCCGUCUCGCGUCGCGAACUGCGUCCCUUGGUUGCGGGAAGGGGAGGCGGAACUCGUGGUGUAGCGGUGUAAUGCAUAGAUAUCACGAAGAACUCCGAUCGCGAAGGCAGCCUUCCGGCCCGUCAACGACGCUCAGGCUCGAAGGUGCGGGUAUCAAACAGGAUUAGAUACCCUGGUAGUCCGCACAGUAAACGAUGGACACCCGCGGUUUGGCCUGUAUGGCUGAGCCGCCAAGCGAAAGCGUUAAGUGUCCCACCUGGGGAGUGCGCCGGCAACGGUGAAACUCAAAUGAAUUGACGGGG